rnacentral:tRNA from 1 species
AUGCUUCGGGAAUAGUCGGGAUAGCUCAGCUGGUAGAGCAGAGGACUGAAAAUCCUCGUGUCACCAGU